rnacentral:tRNA from 1 species
CAAAAUAUAGUUUAACCAAAACACUUCGCUUACACCGAAGUAAUAUCCGUGAAACCCUGAUUAUUUUGA